rnacentral:misc_RNA from 1 species
CUGUGUGCGCGUGACGGAGGAGUCAUGCGUCUGCAGCGACACCUGCGCCUUACGGUCUGCGCGGUGCGGAGGAGUUUCCCAGACAGCCGCGAGAUGGAGCAGCCUGCCCCUUCCUGAGCCGUUCCCGUCCCCCCACGCUGGCUUCGCGCGGUAGCUUUAUUGGCCGUGUCUCAGACGGCGCGAACAGCUGAUCGAUACUUUUGCCCAUCUCUGUCGCGGGCGGUACUUGUUCGUUGCGUACGAUAUAUGUGUUAUCUUUUUGUGUUGUGUUUCGCGGGAUGAGUUUAUACGGGGAUAUUUUUCUGUUAUUCCGCAUGUUAUUUGUUUUACGGAUGAGUAUGGCAUGUUCAUGUGUUAAUGUUUAUGUCCGCGUGUCUGCAGUACUUGCGGGUUCCCGUGACUGGCGGGCUCUAAGUCAGCCGCCAUACUCAGUCUUUUUCAUGGUGUACUCCGUCGAGAAUGGAGGCAUAGCGCCUGAGUGGACGAAAUCGUUGAAACCGCUAGAUGCAUCGUUAUUAUACCAUGCCUACCUGCGCUAGUGCCAGUUUGAGUUGCCACGCUGCUUCAUAUGCUGCACCUACGCAUCAGUAUUCGCUAGUCGACCGCAUCGUGACGAAUACAAGCAACGCUCUGGCUACGGUGUUCUGCGCGUAACAACGCUCGUCAACUACGGCUCAGGCGACAAUAGUUUCAACGAUCGUCUUCAUCAUCGUCUUCCGGGGGCAUCAGCAUGUCUGCUUGCUGAUUCCGUCGCUACCGGCCGACGCAUGACCGCUGCAGACGCGAUUGCCUGCCGCCGUGGGGACUGGAUCCAGGAUGGAGGUUCCAGCAGCCUAAUGUCCCUGCGGUGGCGGAGGUUCGCGUCUGCUGGCUGGCACCUACUGGGUGGACGCCACUGCUACUGAUGUACUUGCGGGUUCCCGUGACUGGCGGGCUCUAAGUCAGCCGCCAUACUCAGUCUUUUUCAUGGUGUACUCCGUCGAGAAUGGAGGCAUAGCGCCUGAGUGGACGAAAUCGUUGAAACCGCUAGAUGCAUCGUUAUUAUACCAUGCCUACCUGCGCUAGUGCCAGUUUGAGUUGCCACGCUGCUUCAUAUGCUGCACCUACGCAUCAGUAUUCGCUAGUCGACCGCAUCGUGACGAAUACAAGCAACGCUCUGGCUACGGUGUUCUGCGCGUAACAACGCUCGU